AAUCCAUAGGUUAAUGAGGCGAACCGGGGGAACUGAAACAUCUAAGUACCCCGAGGAAAAGAAAUCAACCGAGAUUCCCCCAGUAGCGGCGAGCGAACGGGGAGGAGCCCAGAGCCUGAAUCAGCAUGUGUGUUAGUGGAAGCGUCUGGAAAGGCGCGCGAUACAGGGUGACAGCCCCGUACACAAAAGCGCAUGUGCUGUGAGCUCGAUGAGUAGGGCGGGACACGUGGUAUCCUGUCUGAAUAUGGGGGGACCAUCCUCCAAGGCUAAAUACUCCUGACUGACCGAUAGUGAACCAGUACCGUGAGGGAAAGGCGAAAAGAACCCCGGCGAGGGGAGUGAAAAAGAACCUGAAACCGUGUACGUACAAGCAGUGGGAGCACAGGUUUACCUGUGUGACUGCGUACCUUUUGUAUAAUGGGUCAGCGACUUAUAUUCUGUAGCAAGGUUAACCGAAUAGGGGAGCCGGAGGGAAACCGAGUCUUAAUUGGGCGUUAAGUUGCA
rnacentral:rRNA from 1 species